GAAUUGAUGAUGAAACUCCACUUACAUUCCUUGGAGCUGAAGAAAAUGAGUGAAAACUGAAAACUGUUGCUCUUGUCAUGAAGUUA
ensembl:snoRNA SNORD116 Small nucleolar RNA SNORD116